rnacentral:rRNA from 1 species
UACGUAGGGUGCAAGCGUUGUCCGGAAUCAUUGGGCGUAAAGCGCGCGUAGGUGGCUUCGUAAGUCCGUUGUGAAAGUCAAAGGCUCAACCUUUGAAAGCCGAUGGAUACUGCGGAGCUAGAGUACGGAAGAGGCGAGUGGAAUUCCUGGCGUAGCGGUGGAAUGCGCAGAUAUCAGGAGGAACACCAAUAGCGAAGGCAGCUCGCUGGGACGUUACUGACACUAAGGCGCGAAAGCGUGGGGAGCGAACAGG